UAAAUUCAACAUCGGAAGAUAUUGGCCGUCUGUUGGACCGCAGUGCAACCUCUAUGUUCCUGCGCCGCUUCUUAAACCUGGCAAAAAUACCUUGGUGAUUUUCGAGUUGGAAUCUCCACAUCUAGAGCUUUGGCUGGAGUCAGUGGAUAUGCAAGACUUCACAUGCGGUUCAAAUGAUUCCAAAGUUAAUCAAUUG